rnacentral:rRNA from 1 species
UGGCUCAGGACGAACGCUGGCGGCGUGCCUAAUACAUGCAAGUCGAGCGGAUUGAUGGGAGCUUGCUCCCUUGCAUAUCAGCGGCGGACGGGUGAGUAACACGUGGGUAACCUGCCUGUAAGACUGGGAUAACUCCGGGAAACCGGGGCUAAUACCGGAUAACUCAUUUCCUCGCAUGAGGAAAUGUUGAAAGAUGGCUUCUUGCUAUCACUUACAGAUGGACCCGCGGCGCAUUAGCUAGUUGGUGAGGUAACGGCUCACCAAGGCAACGAUGCGUAGCCGACCUGAGAGGGUGAUCGGCCACACUGGGACUGAGACACGGCCCAGACUCCUACGGGAGGCAGCAGUAGGGAAUCUUCCGCAAUGGACGAAAGUCUGACGGAGCAACGCCGCGUGAGUGAUGAAGGUUUUCGGAUCGUAAAACUCUGUUGUUAGGGAAGAACAAGUACCGUUCGAAUAGGGCGGUACCUUGACGGUACCUAACCAGAAAGCCACGGCUAACUACGUGCCAGCAGCCGCGGUAAUA